rnacentral:ncRNA from 1 species
UCCAAGCCUAAAUAUUCCUUGAUGACCGAUAGCGAAGAAGUACUGUGAAGGAAAGGUGAAAAGAACCCCGGGAGGGGAGUGAAAGAGAACCUGAAACCUUAUGUUUACAAACAGUCGAAGUUUUUCGGAACGACGGCGUACUUUUUGUAGAACGGUCCGGCGAGUUGCAGUGACAUGCGAGGUUAAGGAGUACAGCUCCGGAGCCGAAGGGAAACCAAGUCUUAACUGGGCGUCUAGUAUGUUAAUGCAGACCCGAAACCGGGUGACCUAUCCAUGGGCAGGUUGAAGUUACCGUAAAAGGUAAUGGAGGACCGAACUCACAUCUGUUGAAAAAGGUGGAGAUGACCUGUGGAUAGCGGAGAAAUUCCAAUCGAACUCGGAGAUAGCUGGUUCUCCUCGAAAUAGCUUUAGGGCUAGCCUUGAGGUAAAGUCUAAUGGAGGUAAAGCACUGAUUGGACGCGGGUCCCCAAAAGGAUACCAACUUCUAUCAAACUCAGAAUGCCAUAUAGAUAUACUCAGGAGUCAGACUAUGUGAGAUAAGUUUCAUAGUCAAAAGGGAAAGAGCCCAGACCGACAGCUAAGGUCCCAAAGUGUGUGUUAAGUGGAAAAGGAUGU